rnacentral:rRNA from 1 species
AUUGAACGCUGGCGGCAUGCCUUACACAUGCAAGUCGAACGGUAACGCGGGGCAACCUGGCGACGAGUGGCGAACGGGUGAGUAAUACAUCGGAACGUACCCAGUAAUGGGGGAUAGCCCGGCGAAAGCCGGAUUAAUACCGCAUACGACCUAAGGGUGAAAGAGGGGGAUCGCAAGACCUCUCGUUAUUGGAGCGGCCGAUGGCAGAUUAGGUAGUUGGUGGGGUAAAGGCCUACCAAGCCGACGAUCUGUAGCUGGGCUGAGAGGACGACCAGCCACACUGGGACUGAGACACGGCCCAGACUCCUACGGGAGGCAGCAGUGGGGAAUUUUGGACAAUGGACGCAAGUCUGAUCCAGCAAUGCCGCGUGCGGGAAGAAGGCCUUCGGGUUGUAAACCGCUUUUGUCAGGGAAGAAAUCUUCUGGGUUAAUACCUCGGGAGGAUGACGGUACCUGAAGAAUAAGCACCGGCUAACUACGUGCCAGCCGCCGCCGUAAAAC